rnacentral:rRNA from 1 species
UACGGAGGGAGCUAGCGUUGUUUGGAAUUACUGGGCGUAAAGCGUGCGUAGGCGGCUAUUCAAGUCAGAGGUGAAAGCCUGGAGCUCAACUCCAGAACUGCCUUUGAAACUAGAUAGCUAGAAUCUUGGAGAGGUGAGUGGAAUUCCGAGUGUAGAGGUGAAAUUCGUAGAUAUUCGGAAGAACACCAGUGGCGAAGGCGACUCACUGGACAAGUAUUGACGCUGAGGUACGAAAGCGUGGGGAGCAAACAGGAUUAGAUACCCUGGUAGUCCACGCCGUAAACGAUGAUAACUAGCUGUCCGGGCUCUCAGAGCUUGGGUGGCGCAGCUAACGCAUUAAGUACUCCGCCUGGGAAGUACGCUCGCAAGAGUGAA